CCUGUGUCUUGUCUGUCACACCUGUUUGAUCGCUCCCUGUAUUUAGUCUGUUUCUUCCCAUCUGUGUUAGUGUUUGUCAGACUUUUCCUGUUGUCCCCUGUAUUUUAUUGUUGAUUUUCCUUGUGGCUUCUUGUGUUUUUCCACCUGUUUCAUAGACCUUUACGUUUGGACGUUUCUUUUGGAAUUUGAAACUGUCCGCCACCUCUGGUCAUAGAAGCGACGCAGGACUCUCUGUCUUUUGUGGCACUGGCACCUGAGGAGCCGGGUGAAAGCGCGCUUGAACUCUUUGCUGGAGCAGGGGUAGAUGACCGGGUUGAUGCAGCUGUUGAAGUAUCCCAGCCAGAAGAUCACCUUGAAGACGGUUUCAGAUGGCUUCAGUGCUGGGAAGAAGGAACCUAGAUGGGAGAUGGAGCUAUCAGAAAGAAGAGGAGCCAUUUCAGACUCAAGCCCUGUGACGAAAUGAAAAACAUGACAACUCUGGAGGAGAGGCAUUUUGGAUAAGUGAAUAGAAGAGAAAUAGAGGUGAUACUGUUUGGCACUGAUAUAUUUGUUUGUUAUUUUCUAUUUCUUUUCAUAUUUUGCACUUGGACCUGUGUGAGACAAGAGUUUUUAUUUUAAAUGUAUUAUUUUGGACACUCUUUGAAAUAACAUAUUGUUACUGACAUGACUGAGACAACUCUUAGGAUAGGCAGUGUGUCACUCAAUAUGCUUGUGUCAAAGAAGAAAACUCAGUACAUUUCUUUCUCCAAGUUUUUUAUUAUAUUAGUUUUGUUAACACAUAUUACAGCUUCAGUUAGCUUUGUUUUUUUUGGUAAAGCCUCGUUUUUUUAUUUUAGUUUCAGUUAAACGUACAAUAUGUAGAAUUUUAUUCCAAUGUUAAUUAAUAAAUUAUAUCUAAAUGACUUAAACAUUACCUCAAAUAUUUCCAACAGUUAUCAAAGCCAGAGAAACCCUUCAUUUUAGUGUUUCCGUGGAAACACCAGAUGUUACGUCAAAGACGGCUACACAAGGAAGCUAAUGUAAUGUGAACGCUGAAACUGUUCUUUAUGCGUUACAUUAACGCCCACUGGACUUUAAAUUUACAUUUAUUUUCUUUACAUGCACUCUGUGAGUAGGUUACAUACACUGUAAGAUUGUUUCUCAUAAUCCACUGCACAGCUCCUACAUUGCACCUUUUGUACUUUGAAAAAAAAAAUAUAUUUUACAUUUUUAAAUUCUAUUU